AACCGAUGAUGAGCCUGCCAUGCUAAUACCGAUGUGCCAGGCAGACGUGGGUCUCUCUGGGCGCAAGUGAGUUGAGCUGAACUUCUCACGCUGGGAUG
ensembl:snoRNA small nucleolar RNA U6-53/MBII-28